AGCGGGUAGCGGGAAUCGAACCCGCAUCGUUAGCUUGGAAGGCUAGGG
rnacentral:tRNA from 4 species